UACGUAGGAUGCUAGCGUUGUCCGGAAUUACUGGGCGUAAAGCGUGCGUAGGCGGUUCGUUAAGUUCGUUGUGAAAGCCCCGGGCUCAACCUGGGAACUGCAAUGGAAACUGGCGGGCUUGAGUGUGGCAGAGGGGGGUGGAAUUCCGCGUGUAGCAGUGAAAUGCGUAGAGAUGCGGAGGAACACCGAUGGCGAAGGCAGCCCCCUGGGCCAACACUGACGCUCAGGCACGAAAGCGUGGGGAGCAAACAGG
rnacentral:rRNA from 1 species